AUUUUGGAGCCUACUGAUGUCCACUGGCCCAUCCUCAGAGGACUGGAAGCUUCCCUAUCUCUAUGCUUACCUCAACCUCGUCACACCCGUCUCCAGAACUCCACUCAGGCCCUGCUGCUCCUCCCACCUGUACGGUUUGCAUUCACGGUGUGCGGUCCCGAGGCCCUGGUGGGCAGCUCAGAGUCAGUGGGAAGUGGGAUGUCAGCAGGCUUGUCUGGGAGCUGCUGCCUCUGUGAAGGAGCUGGGCUUGGCGAGCAGCAGACAUCACCCACAAGGCCUCAUCCCAGCCCGGCCACAGGGGCUCCAAAGAAAUCACAAGAUAACACAGCUGCAGCCUGUUCCUGCCACUGUCUCUUUCUGUCCCCUCGAGCCUGCCCCAGCCAGCCCACCACCAUGAUGGGUAGUGAUGGGCGAGUGGGAGGAAGCGAAGAGCUGGAGCAACCUGUCAGCAGAGAGGCCGGCAGAACAGACUUCUAGGGGCCGACCCUGUGGCCGAGUGGUUAAGUUCACGUGCUCCACUGCAGGCAGCCCAGUGUUUCGUCAGUUCGAAUCCUGCUCAUCGAGCCAUGCUGAGGCGGGAUCCCACAUGCCACAACUAGAAGGACCCACACCUAAGAAUAUACAACUAUGUACCUGAGGGCUUUGGGGAGAAAAA
rnacentral:lncRNA from 1 species